UACGUAGGGUGCGAGCGUUGCCCGGAUUUAUUGGGCGUAAAGGGCGCGUAGGCGGUGAGAUGCGUCCGUUGUGAAAUCGCCCGGCUCAACUGGGCGGGGUCAGCGGAUACGGUCUCACUUGAGCAAGCUAGGGGGCAAUGGAAUUCCCGGUGUAGUGGUGGAAUGCGUAGAUAUCGGGAGGAACACCAGUGGCGAAGGCGGUUCUCUGGGCCUUACCUGACGCUGAGGAGCGAAAGCGUGGGGAGCGAACAGG
rnacentral:rRNA from 1 species